rnacentral:rRNA from 1 species
UACAGAGGGGGCAAGCGUUGUUCGGAAUUACUGGGCGUAAAGCGCACGUAGGCGGACAUUUAAGUCAGGGGUGAAAUCCCAGAGCUCAACUCUGGAACUGCCUUUGAUACUGGGUGUCUAGAGUAUGGAAGAGGUGAGUGGAAUUCCGAGUGUAGAGGUGAAAUUCGUAGAUAUUCGGAGGAACACCAGUGGCGAAGGCGGCUCACUGGUCCAUUACUGACGCUGAGGUGCGAAAGCGUGGGGAGCAAACAGG